rnacentral:rRNA from 1 species
GCCGCCGCGGUAAUACGUAGGUGGCGAGCGUUAUCCGGAAUUAUUGGGCGUAAAGAGCGCGCAGGUGGUUGAUUAAGUCUGAUGUGAAAGCCCACGGCUUAACCGUGGAGGGUCAUUGGAAACUGGUCGACUUGAGUGCAGAAGAGGGAAGUGGAAUUCCAUGUGUAGCGGUGAAAUGCGUAGAGAUAUGGAGGAACACCAGUGGCGAAGGCGGCUUCCUGGUCUGUAACUGACACUGAGGCGCGAAAGCGUGGGGAGCAAACAGGAUUAGAUACCCC